CACUGUUUGAGUUCCUUUGCUCUCAGUGAGGAGGAACAAGCAGUUUAUCACAUGCAGAGCGGAGAGUGCGGGUCGGGAUGUCGGGUUGGACCAGGUCCUGGAUGUAAGCUGGACCCCAUCCAUUCACAGCACGGAUAUCAAGCCCCGCCCCCUUUGUUUCCUCUCGGGUACCACCAGAGCCGCUGGAUCUACGACGAAGAGGCUGACGUGAAGGCUGUGGACGCUGGAUUCGACCGCCACGACAUCCCGUGC
ensembl:lncRNA